UAAGGCGAGGCCGACAGGCGUAGUCGAUGGAUAACCGGUUGAUAUUCCGGUACCCGCUGUGAAGCGUCAAACAUCGAGCAUCGUGAUGCUAAGGCCGUGAAGCCGCCCUGAUCUCUUCGGAGUUGAGGGGAGUGGUGGAGCCGCCGAACCAAGCGGUUAGUAGGUGAGUGAUGGGGUGACGCAGGAAGGUAGUCCAUCCCGGGCGGUGGUUGUCCCGGGGUAAGGGUGUAGGACGUCAGGUAGGUAAAUCCGCCUGGCACAUAGUCUGAGACCUGAUGCCGAGCCGAUUGUGGUGAAGUGGAUGAUCCUAUGCUGUCGAGAAAAGCCUCUAGCGAGUUUCAU
rnacentral:rRNA from 1 species